UUGACCUUCCCGGGGCUGAGCUGUGCCCUGGCACCGUUACCGCGCUGCAAACCGACUGCAAUCGGCCCUGCGCGAGCCGUGACCGCCCGCGCCGUGGCCAGGGGAUCCCGGUAUCUUCCAGACACAGCUGCGGGAUGCGGUGCCGGUGCAAGACCUCCCCUAGGGUGAUCCCUGUGGGAUGCCGGCCGUGCCCUGCCCUCGGGGCAGCUUUCUGGAAGAUCCCCAGGCCAUGCUUUAAAGCAGGCUGCUCUGGGGUUUGUACCUGGCCAGACCCUUGGUGUCUGGAGUGGACGUAUCCUGGCAAGGCACAAGGAGAAAAGACCCCAUUGUGUGACACCACAACAUUCACUUUUGCUGUGAUGAGGGAUCUCACAGGAAAAAGCUGGACAGAGAUGAAAUGCCUGUAUCCUUCCACCAGCAGGAUGAAGAUUUCACAGGAACUCCUCCAUUGUAUGUGUAAGGGAUUAUUAUUAACAACUGUUUCUAAAUGAUUCGUUUGCUAGAGCUCUGCAAACAACUUUGCUCUGGCAGCAAAAGCGUGAAGGGAAAUCCAGGCAAAUGGAAUGAAACCCUAACAUACUAUGCAUUCCUCUCGCAUUGCUUCUUACAAAAAGGUUCCACUUCUGAGGUCAAAAACCUUGCUGUUGAAAAACAUACUUUUUUGAGGAAGUCUGCAAAAAAAUAUUCUGUGUUGGUUAUCUCCAGUUUUCAGGGCUUUUUCCAAUCACACAAGUCCACUCGCAGCAACUCUAUUUUCACCUGUGGGAAAAUGCCAGAGCUCAAAUUCCUCCACUACCUUCAUUUUUCUUUCUGUCCCAAGAUUUUAAUUCAA